rnacentral:lncRNA from 1 species
GUUCGUGUAUUGAGUGAUGGUGGCUUCAGGGCAUGAGGCAAAAUUUAUGCAAUGGUAGCAACAACUAUUCUUCACAUAGACACAUACUAUCUUGAUGUCUAAUAUGAACUUUCCCUAGUCUACUCCACUUAUGCUCCACACAUUGAGCAGUAGUUUUCCUCAUCUUAGACAUUCCUUUUUUAUUCAUGCAUUAUUAGCACUCAAGUAAUAAUUAAAGCCGAUCAAAUGUACUAUUCGUAGUGUGCAUGCAGUUAUCUAGUUACCUGGCUUUCUCUUGUUUACCCUUUACCAUCAAUCUCCUCAUUUGAACUUUCAUUCUUGGCAUUGUUACCUCAAAUUAUACUAAAACAGUUAUUUUUGUCGCUUUUAUUUUCUUAGAAUACUCCAACAGCAAGUGCAAUAUCUUUUGCUCACCCAUCAAGCUCUCAAAGGGUGAAUUACUCCAAAAGAUGGAGCAGGACCACUUGGCUGAGUCACUCAAUGAUCUUUUCACCAAUGUAUCCAGGAUGAUAAGAGGCGAGCUCCAGGUAUAAGAAAUUUUCGGCAAUUUUCUUUCAAAAU